UUCUGAGACGCAGUGUAAAUUACCACGGCAGCAGACCUCAGAGUAUGGAUCUGGUACGAGGCGAAAGUUUCCUCCUGUUGUUGUGAGUCUGUCUGCCUGGGACCUGGAGACAGACUGACAGACUGCCAAUGUCCUGUCACCCCCCCACCACCAGUACAUAACGUGGGCCGGCGCACACGUGCAGACAGAGCUACACCGCUGCUUCCCUCCCCUCCCCUCUCCUCCCCUCUCCUCCCUCUCUCCGCACACACAUGGGUUCUUGCCAGGAUGAAGACCUUGCUUCAAGGGUUUAAUCAGAGGCAAAGGGACUCUCGUCUGCAGGCAGCCGCUCCGAGAAAUAACACAUAAACCUGGCGGCGGCGGCGGCAGCGAGGCGCACCGGCCCACUUUGCAAUCAGACAACAUUUCGAAUACUAAUCAAACAUGUGGCAGAAAAUUUACAUUUAACCGAAGUGAUGCGGAGGAGCCAUCUGCCCAUUGAUUAGCAGGACACCACAAAGAUCACUCUCCGCCUGGGUGGCAGACAUGACAUGCAUAUUACAAAUAAUAUUGAAUCUGCUGUCAUCUUAGUUUUGAGUCAAAUUAGUGCGACUACUGUAUGUUCAUGAAGCACACGGCUGACAUUUUAUUCUGAUUGGUUGGCAGGGUUUCAAAUCUUCUUCUCGUGUGAAGAGUAUAACCUUUUAACAGGACUUAAACAACGUGGCUAAAGGAAAAAAUACAGGGUUUUCCUUAAGUGCAGGCUGUAUGCCAGACGGUCGGACAUUAAAACAUUUUCCUGUCACUUUUUAAAAUGUUAUAACAUCAUCUUAAACCAGACGAAGGAUUUUUGUCAUUGGCCGUCUCGCUAACCAGAGUACUGUUAUUCUAACUGUUAGAGUUGAUGGCCAUAAUAUGCAAAUAAACUUUAAGUUGUCAUAAACUGGAACUAAACUUUAACACUCACUUUCUCUCACAAAUGAUCCUCACUACUAGUGUGAAUUUCCUACUUCUUCGUUACCAAGCUGUGUUAAAUGUCCUCUCCAGUCUCACAUGUGAUGCAUCAUAGGUUUAAAAAUCUGCUGACCAUUGAACCUUCUGUGGCACAUGAUAUCCCGAGCUUUAUUUCAACCUCCAGCUCUCUCCUGCCCUGGCUGGUUUUUUUUUUCCACUCAUGCACAUGUAUUUGGCUCCAAAUCUGAGGUCAGGAUAGUAUUUAGAGAAAUGUUGUGAAAGCUUCACCUGACCUGACGGCACGCCGAGGGCACGCAGCCCCGCUCGGCUCGGCUCUGGAUAAUCUGCGGUCAGGAGCCAAAAGGGAGCAAAGUCAAGCCCCAACAGAGAGAGAGUGAGGCAGCUCGGCUCACCUAUAGGUCAGGCUCUGGUUACAGGAGAGGUGAGCUCACUCAACAGUAUUUCUGCCUCGCUGCUCUUCAUCACAGGAAGUGGUCAAACAGAUCACUGACAGAGGGAACGACCUGGAAAACGUGACUAGAUAAUAAACACCCUCUGGAGUGUUUGGCACGGUGAUAGCCCGAGUGUGUAACGCAAUACGUGGUUGCUUAUUUCGCUGUGACUAAUUGUACCCUCCACUCACAAGUUGAGGAAAUCCAUCAUUUGAGGGGAGGAACCAACAGAUUGCUCAAUAUCAGUUCAUGAUGGACGCAUGUUUUUCUGUCUUUUAAUAGCGCAGAAUCGAGGUGGGGAAUCCUGCCAGCGGUCUCUUGGGUUACAACACAAGACACCACCGAGUGACCGCUGACAUGCAAACAUCAGGCGGCACCGACCUCAACCAGCCGCUUGAGCUUCUUACAAGGCUGUAAAAGAUAUUUUACAAGGACUUGAGCAAUAAAGCUGUUCAAGUCGGAGGCCUGACUGGUAAUCGUUGCCGCACAGCUGUGGGCAACGCUUCAGACAUUAAUGAGAAUAUGAUUGAUCACAUGGGGGGUAAUUGAAAUUGAUUAAUCAUUUGAGAGUUGGAACUUAAUCUCGCCAGUCUCCAGGAGUUAUAGAGGUUAUGAGCAGACGGCAGCAGUGGAGAUUCUGCAUUAUCAUGCGAGCUGUAGGCAGCCCGACAGGCCAACAGAGCAGACCGGGCUCGAUACUCGCAGAGACUGACCUGAGAGGCCUGGUCCUGACAGCUGAUUUCCAUUUCCCAGAGGAUUAAAGAAGUAGCAAGUGCUGAGCAUCUUCCUCAAAAAAGGAUUCCCUCCCCACACUGCUCAUGUUCCAGUUUUAAUGUUGUCUCUUCUGUUGCCUUUUAGCCCCAAAAUUCAGCUUCACUUAUAAAAUUCACUUGAUGGAAAUAACCAACAAAAAUGCUUCUACCACAAAUUUCAGAAAAUAAAAAAAGAUAAGAAAUAAAUAAAUAAAAUCUAUCUUUUUUAUUUUGCAAGAAGAGUAAGAUAUAUCCAAGGACAGCACAGAGGUUUUGUUCUCCCAUCGCACUUAGU